UUAAAUGAUAGGCCAUCAUUAUCUGUCGUCCUACUACGCCUAGUCCAAGAGAAGAUGGUUUUAUUUCAGUGGCUUGCUUUUGCGAAUGAAGCUCCAAAUUAACAACCAAGCAAGCAUGGCUUCGGCUAUUCUUUCUCUGGCCAAACCAUCUCCUCUGCAGCCAAAUGGAAAACAUUUUGCAGAAUUCUCAGCUCUCCCGAAGCCAUCAGCCUGCCUGCCUUUUGGCAGAAAGACCUCAAACGAUCAAAUGAUGAAAAGUAAAGUGGUAGCAUCUCAAAGAAAUAUUGCGUGCUUUGCUUUGCAAGAAUCAUCCACUUCCACUGUAGGGCAGCAUUGGUAAAAAGUGAACUCUUUUUGCCCCUUUUACGUACUAGCUGAUGCUGCUGCUGCUGCUGAUACAAGUACAAAGGAGGUUAAAACAGCUGAUCAAAAAGCAGCAGCUCCAGCAAAGCCUAAAGUUGCUGCAAAAGCCCCAAUGAAGGAGUUGCCUCAAAUGAUGGAGGAGGACGUUAUCCCGCCGUUGAAAGCAAUACUCGAAACUCAAGAUGAACUCUCUGAUAUUGAGCUAUGUUUUCAAGACAACAGGCUGGAAGGUUCCUUUAUAAAGAAGGGCAAUUCUUAUUCGUUUUGGGCCUUCUUCCCCAGUGGAGUCCUCACAGGUCCAAAGGGGUUUUCUCUGUCUUCGUAUGGCUCAGGAGUGAGCACUGUUGAGCCAUUUCUCGUUGAUGAGAAGAAAAUAACUGCAAAACAUAUUGUCUUUUGGGUUGAAAAGCGUUUAGCCGCUCAAGGAAUCAUUCCUGUCUGGAAUUAGAUUAGUUUUCCUUUCCACAAAUCCUUCAUUUCAUUCCCCACUAUAUAUAAUAUUCAUUGUAAAUUAAACGAACAAUGCAUUACUUUAAUUUUGGAUUUUAAUCACUCUGAUCUGAUUUAGCCAUCUUGUUGAUUAAGCAAUUAACAGAAUUGGGCACCAAUGCAAGUUGGUUGGGUCGCCCAGGAGCUAAACCCUAUGAAUAAGAUUUAUUUAUUAUACCCCA